rnacentral:lncRNA from 1 species
CUAGUCUGGUAUAGCAACCGUCACCCUGGUUACUUUCAUUUCGGCACUUAGUAGUUUUAAUAAUAAAUAGUUCAGUUAGACGAUCCUCAUGUUUGUUUGAAUGUUGAUGAUUUGGCUUCAGUGGAUCUGUGAUGUUUUCCUUAUGUAUGUGAUUUUAGAUUGUAGAUUUGUGGAUAUGGUUUUAUAGAUAUUCAGUUUAUGCAUUUAUGUCUUUAUGCAUUGUGGUUUUCUACCCCUCGAGGUAGCCGGUUUUCAAAAUAGAGUUUUCGAGUGGGGAAACAGUUUUAAAAAGGUUUUCGAAUGAUUUUCAUGAAUGAAUGAAUUAGAGUUUAAAAACAAAAGCUUCCGUGUGGGGAGCACUUUUAAAUAGGAUGUUUGUUGUAUUGUGCAUUGCAUCAUCCAG